rnacentral:lncRNA from 1 species
GCCCUGCGCUGUGACGGGACUAGAGGAUUGAAGAAGGAGAUCCACCCGGCUAUGAGUUGGUGCCAGGAAGGCCAUUGCAGAGAAAGGCAGGCGUGGAGUGUCCUCUGCCAGAGGCUGCCUGAGCUCCAUGGAAGGAGGCCAGUGUGGCAGUGAGGUGCCUGGCUGCCCGCCCCUCCCCUCACUCCUCUAAUAACCACCAUUUCUGUCUCCACCAAUUCUGGGACACCCACCUGCAGGUUCAAGACCACUCACACUUGGGCACUGAUGGGCCUCUAUGGGGUCAUGGAAGGAGCCCUCAGGCAGUGGAAUGUCUCAGGUGACCCCUGCCAAGGGGCCAAGCCCAGCUUUUGUUGCUUAGCCUCCUCCAAGGAAAACCCUCCCUGGGAAAGUUCUGAUGAUCACCACCUCUGACCAAGCCAUACUUCCUGUAAGCACCAGAAAGAAAGUGAUUCCAGGUUCUAUUAUUGAACUUUACACUAUCGUUUCAACAAAA